GGGGUUGUAACUUAGUGGUAGAGCACUCAUCUAGUAAUUGUGAGGCCCUGGGUUCAAUCCUCAGCACCA
rnacentral:tRNA from 1 species